GUCCACUCUGCCCCAUAAGCACAUGUAAUCAUUAUGUAUGCAAUAAAGGAAAGGGGCGUGGCCACACUACUGGUGGCAGAGUCACAGAAUACAGGGCUCUUCGGUCCAUGGCAGGAUGGCACAGAGCAGAACGAGCAGAGCACCGCAGACUUCAAAGGAAGAAAAAUGCACCUUGGUCCUGCGGAGCCACUGUUACCUGAAAUUCAUCGCAGGAUGCAGCUUUGUGCUCUCAGUGAUACAUAUUUCAUAUGCUAAUUCUGGAUUUUUAGCAUGUCUAUGAGAAUAGCCUUUCUAACCAUAAUAAUGAAGAAAGAUCACAAAAGAAGAGGAAGAGAGAGAGAGAAAAAAAUUUUUUUUAAUUUCUCCACUAAAAAUAAAGGUUAAUCGAUAAACUGG
rnacentral:lncRNA from 1 species